GUCAUUUCAAGUCUUUAAACCAAAAAAGUGCCAAAUAUAGCUUAGAUUUUUGCAAUUCAUAUGACUUUUAAGUUAAAUUGUACUUAAAAAGCCAUAGUAUAUUUAUAUUUGAGUAUUUAUAGAGUAUGUAAGAGUUGUAGAAAAGCUAAUUUUUCCUUUUUAAAUGUCUUGACAAGAUCUUAGUGUGAAUCAUUACGGUCAGAAUGGAAAGAAUUCAGAUUUAAAAGUGCUUCUCAAGUCACAGGCCUCAAGUCCGAGUCAAGUUCCAAGUCACUGACCUUCAAGUACAAGUCGAGCCCCAAGUCUUAGUCCAUUUUAUCAAGUUUCGUCUCAGGUCCCAAAAAUGGUGACUCAAGUCUGACUCGCACAACUUGCAAGUCUCCACCUCUGGUUUAAGCAAACAAAAAUUCAACUGCCUUUUUCAACAAAAAAAAAUUAAAAUAAAGAAAAUCAACAAAAUUCAUCAUCACAAUCAGUACAUUUGAAGUUUUAAUAUGCUGAUAAAGGAAAAGAAAAGUUUAGACCAUGGACAAUUACACCUAGACUUUGUACAAUGCCUCUAUAAGAUUUUCCAACUUUAUUUUUGGUUGCCUUGUAAUUUUUUCCCUCUAAUUAUAUGUUUUAAAAGAGUAAAAGUUAUAUCCAAUUAAGCGUAUAAUUCUUAUUAAUUCUUCUCAUAAUACUUGAAUACAAAUUGCAGUGUUUACUAUUAAUACAAUACACUAUAGUGACACAGUAUAGUCUAAAAUGUACUGGACUGCACUGAAAAAACAGUCCGAGAGGGGUUGCUGAAAUUGCAAAAACAAAUUUGACAACAAUAACAUGACUUUUUUAUGAUUCUCUGUAAAGCAUGUUUAAAUCUUACAAAGGUCGCUUGAUUGUGGCCGAUGUUAGACCUGCAUGUUUUAAUUAGGUUGAGGAAACAUGACUUUAUUAUAAUUUCUGGUGAGGCUCCUCCCUCUGGAAUUCUCCUCCCCAAAACUUUUGGAGGCAAAAUUCAAAUGCAGCAGGACACAGGACAGUUACAGGAGCAGAGGACACACAGUGUGGAGCAGGAGGAUUAUGAGAGCUGAUCUGGAGAUUUUAUUAUGUGCUUCUCCGGCCUAGAAUGUCGUCAUUGUUAAAACAUGUUUGUGGUGUUUUAUUUGAAAUUAGAGUUAAUGUAAGGACUCCUUGAAACAAAUUGUCUUUGACUGUCCAUCUACAAGAGUGUGACAGUUGUAUUCAGAUUUGAAUGUGUUGCUUCCAGAGUCGUCUACAAACAAAGAGUGACGUCCAGAGCUCUGCUGGAGCUGUGGGGAAGAUCAUGAAUGUUAUAGUUGAUGUUUCAGAAAAAAGGAAGAUGUUUGAGAACCAACAAAACACAGAGCACAGAGGAACAAAGGUGAUGUGGCAUUAGGAGGAUUUUAUAUCAGAUGCCCUCCCUGUUACUGUGUUUAGAGGAAGAAAAGCAGCACAUGGCAGAGACCAGAGCGUCUUCACUGGAAUAAAUCUUCACACUGUCCAGCUCC